rnacentral:misc_RNA from 1 species
UCCGAGUUGACCCCGGCAGUCUCCCGUGAGUCCCCACCACCCCCAAAAGGGAGCGUGCUGGCAACACAGGACAAGGGUUGCGCUCGUUGCGGGACUUAACCCAACAUCUCACGACACGAGCUGACGACAGCCAUGCACCACCUGUGAUGGCGUCCCGAAGGAAAGGUGUGUUUCCACACCGGUCACCAACAUGUCAAACCCAGGUAAGGUUCUUCGCGUUGCGUCGAAUUAAACCACAUGCUCCGCUGCUUGUGCGGGCCCCCGUCAAUUCCUUUGAGUUUCACCCUUGCGGGCGUACUCCCCAGGUGGAUGACUUAACGCUUUCGCUAAGACGCUGACAGUAUAUCGCCAACAUCGAGUCAUCAUCGUUUACGGCGUGGACUAC